rnacentral:rRNA from 1 species
CCUANGGGAGGCAGCAGUGAGGAAUAUUGGGCAAUGGACGCAAGUCUGACCCAGCCAUGCCGCGUGCAGGAUUGAAGGCCCUAUGGGUCGUAAACUGCUUUUAUUUGGGAAGAAACCCUCUGAUGUAUCAGAGAUUGACGGUACCAAAGGAAUAAGCAUCGGCUAACUCCGUGCCAGCAGCCGCGGUAAUACGGAGGAUGCAAGCGUUAUCCGGAUUCAUUAGGUUUAAAGGGUGCGUAGGCGGAAUAAUAAGUCAGUGGUGAAAUCUUGCCGCUUAACGGUGAAAUUGCCAUUGAAACUGUUAUUCUUGAGUAUAGUUGAGGUGGGCGGAAUGUGUAGUGUAGCGGUGAAAUGCUUAGAUAUUACACAGAACACCAAUUGCGAAGGCAGCUCACUAAACUAUCACUGACGCUGAGGCACGAAAGCGUGGGUAGCGAACAGGAUUAGAUACCCGANUANUC